GCUGGGACUGUAGCUCAGUGGUAGAGCACUUGCCUGGCAUGAUUGAGACCCUGGGAUAAAUCCCUAGCACAGCA
rnacentral:tRNA from 1 species